GAUGAAGAACGCAGCGAAAUGCGAUACGUAAUGUGAAUUGCAGAAUUCAGUGAAUCAUCGAAUCUUUGAACGCAUAUUGCGCUCUCUGGUAUUCCGGAGAGCAUGCUUGUUUGAGUAUCAGUAAACACCUCAACUUCCAUAUCUUUUUUGAAAUGGGAGUUGGACUUGAGUGAUCCCAACGCUUUUCCUCACCGAAAAGUGGCGGGUUACUUGAAAUGCAGGUGCAGCUGGACUUUUCUCUGAGCUAUAAGCAUAUCUAUUUAGUCUGCCUAAAAAACAGAUUCUUACCUUUGCUGCAGCUAACAUAAAGGAGAUUAGUUCUUGUGCUGACUGAUGCAGGAUUCACAAAGACAGGCUUCGGCCGACUUUGUAAACUCGAUCUCAAAUCAAGUAAGACUACCCGCUGAACUUAAGCAUAUCAAUAAGCGGAGGA
rnacentral:misc_RNA from 1 species